GGAGUCUUGAAGAGCUAAAAUGUUCAUUAAUAUCAAGCAGGACAGGAAUUAACUGCAUGAAGUGAACUAACAGGAGACUGGAGUGAUCUUUUUGGCAUUUAGCUUAAAAUAUAGCUAAUCAUUUGUUUUGCUUUUCAAAACCAAAGAAACUUUUCUUUUGAGCUAUUGAUAGCUUUUAACAAUUUAGUAUACUCCCAUGAACAAAAUUUGGAGCAUACUUGUUUCUCUCUACCUGAUUUUCUCUGGAAAUUGGAAACUGCGCUGCCUCUAAGCCCCCUGACCAUCACAGGAGGAAAUCUCUUCACUGCUGGUGCUGACAACUAAUAACUGAGAGUGCCCAGAAUCCUUCACCCCCACGUCUAACAAAAGGCCAUGUGAGGAGGCAGCCGUCUACAAUCCUCAGCAGAAACCACCCUAUGGAUACCUUGAUCUUGAACUUCUGACCUCCAGAACUGUUCAUUGGCUGGGCCCUUGUAACAAAAGACAGACGAACAAGAGACAAGCAUACAAAUUAAUCUUCAUAACACAGGAGCCUUUAUAAGGAAAUGAAGCCCUAAAGAAUCAGCUAAACC